UUGAGAUAGCGCACACACACUCACACACACACACUAACACACACUCACACAUGGGGCUGGCAAGUGAUGAUGAUGAUGUGUAUUGAUGCUAGAGACUUCCUGGAAGCCAGAGUGAGUCAAGGCACAAGUCAUUCAAAUUCCCUGACCCCGCACUGGCAGGCAUAAGGAAACCAGGACCUGUGGAUACAGCACAGACAGCGACUACAGAUGGAGGAGAUUUUCCACGUGUGAUGUUGAGAGCAUUUCAGAAGCUGAGGAUCAGCAGUGGGUUCUGCUGCAGUCUGAGAGAAAACUAAGGGCCAGAUUUCCUAACGCGCUGCAGCACCGCAAGUUGGGUUCUGCUGUGAAAAGUGGCAAGACUGCAUGUAAGAGGAUGAUUACUCGCCACAAUCAUUCUGAUGUCUAACAACAAUCUGCAAAAGCCAGUUUCUCACCACAGUCAUUUCCACAGGAUUGCAGAGAGAAAAACUUUACUUGAGCUCAUCAAGUGAUACGCAGGAGGUUUGCAGAAGUUUAUCCAAAGACAGAAUCUGACGGAUGGAUGGAUGCCUGUUUGGUCCCCGGUGCACUGUGGAGCCUCGCCUUUGAUCCAUAUUGCGGCGAUAAAUGUUAACAUUCGGUGAAAAACAUUCCUCUACGUUCAUCUGCUAUU